CCUACGGGAGGCAGCAGUGGGGAAUCUUGCGCAAUGGGCGGAAGCCUGACGCAGCAACGCCGCGUGCGGGAAGAAGGCCUUAGGGUCGUAAACCGCUUUCAGGGGGGACGAAGCUUCCGGGGUUAAUAGCCUACGGGGUGACGGUACUCCCAAAAGAAGGUCCGGCUAACUACGUGCCAGCAGCCGCGGUAAUACGUAGGGACCGAGCGUUGUCCGGAAUCAUUGGGCGUAAAGAGCGUGUAGGCGGCCUAGUAGGUCUCGUGUGAAAUCCCGUGGCUCAACCACGGACACGCACGGGAAACCCCUAGGCUCGAGUCCGGAAGAGGAGAGCGGAAUUCCUGGUGUAGCGGUGAAAUGCGCAGAUAUCAGGAAGAACACCCGUAGCGAAGGCGGCUCUCUGGGACGGUACUGACACUGAGACGCGAAAGCGUGGGGAGCAAACAGGAUUAGAUACCCUGGUAGUCCACGCCGUAAACGAUGGAUGCUAGGUGUGGGAGGUGUCGACUCCUCCCGUGCCGAAGCUAACGCAUUAAGCAUCCCGCCUGGGGAGUACGGCCGCAAGGCUAAAACUCAAAGGAAUUGACGGCUGAGACGNGCGAGCGACACGAGGAGAG
rnacentral:rRNA from 1 species